GAUGAACGCUGGCGGCGUGCCUAAUACAUGCAAGUCGAGCGAACAGACGAGGAGCUUGCUCCUCUGACGUUAGCGGCGGACGGGUGAGUAACACGUGGAUAACCUACCUAUAAGACUGGGAUAACUUCGGGAAACCGGAGCUAAUACCGGAUAAUAUAUUGAACCGCAUGGUUCAAUAGUGAAAGACGGUUUUGCUGUCACUUAUAGAUGGAUCCGCGCCGCAUUAGCUAGUUGGUAAGGUAACGGCUUACCAAGGCAACGAUGCGUAGCCGACCUGAGAGGGUGAUCGGCCACACUGGACCUGAGACACGGUCCAGACUCCUACGGGAGGCAGCAGUAGGGAAUCUUCCGAGACGGGCGUACGCCUGACGGAGCAACGCCGCGCGAGUGAUGACAGUCUUCGGAUCGUAAACCUCUGUUAUUAGGGAAGAACAAAUGUGUAAGUCACUAUGCACGUCUUGACGGUACCUAAUCAGAAAGCCACGGCUAACUACGUG
rnacentral:rRNA from 1 species